UAGGGAAUCUUCCACAAUGGGCGAAAGCCUGAUGGAACAACGCCGCGUGUGUGAUGUAAGGGUUUCGGCUACGUAAAACACUGUUGUAAGAGAAGAAAGACAUUGAGAGUAACUGUUCAAUGUGUGACGGUAUCUUACCAGAAGGAACGGCUAAAUACGUGCCAC
rnacentral:rRNA from 1 species